UUGCGCUGAACGAUGCGGCGGCUCGGUUGCAUCGCGUAGAGUAUAUAGUGGCGAACGGUGCAGUAACACGUGAGUAACCUGCCCUUAACUCUGGAUAAGCCUGGAAACUGGGUCUAAUACCGGAUAGGAGCGCCUACCGCAUGGUGGGUGUUGGAAAGAUUUAUCGGUUUUGGAUGGACUCGCGGCCUAUCAGCUUGUUGGUGAGGUAAUGGCUCACCAAGGCGACGACGGGUAGCCGGCCUGAGAGGGUGACCGGCCACACUGGGACUGAGACACGGCCCAGACUCCUACGGGAGGCAGCAGGGGGAAUAUUGCACAAUGGGCGCAAGCCUGAUGCAGCGACGCCGCGUGAGGGAUGACGGCCUUCGGGUUGUAAACCUCUUUCAGUAGGGAAGAAGCGAAAGUGACGGUACCUGCAGAAGAAGCACCGGCUAACUACGUGCCAGCAGCCGCGGUAAUACGUAGGGUGCGAGCGUUAUCCGGAAUUAUUGGGCGUAAAGAGCUCGUAGGCGGUUUGUCGCGUCUGUCGUGAAAGUCCUGGGCUUAACCCCGGAUCUGCGGGGGACGGGCAGACUAGAGUGCAGUAGGGAGACUGGAAUUCCUGGUGUAGCGGUGGAAUGCGCAGAUAUCAGAGAACACCGAUGGCGAAGCAGGUCUCUGGCUGAACUGACGCUGAGAGCGAAGCAUGAGCGAACAGAUUAGAUACUGUAGUCCAUGCGUAAACGUUGCACUACG
rnacentral:rRNA from 1 species